AGCGGCAGGCCUAAUACAUGCAAGUCGAACGGAUGUCAGCAAUGGCAUUAGUGGCGCACGGGUGCGUAACACGUAACUAACCUACCUAUAACUGGGGGAUAGCCCGCCGAAAGGCGGAUUAAUACCGCAUAAGCUGCUUGGGUGGCAUCACCUAAAUAGUAAAGAUUUAUUGGUUAUAGAUGGGGUUGCGGGUCAUUAGCUAGUUGGUAAGGUAACGGCUUACCAAGGCGACGAUGACUAGGGGAGCUGAGAGGCUGGUCCCCCACACGGGCACUGAGAUACGGGCCCGACUCCUACGGGAGGCAGCAGUAGGGAAUAUUGGGCAAUGGGCGAGAGCCUGACCCAGCCAUGCCGCGUGCAGGAAGAAGGCUUUCUGAGUCGUAAACUGCUUUUGACAGGGAAGAAUAAGCACUACGUGUAGUGUGAUGACGGUACCUGCAGAAUAAGCACCGGCUAACUCCGUGCCAGCAGCCGCGGUAAUACGGAGGGUGCGAGCGUUGUCCGGAUUUAUUGGGUUUAAAGGGUGCGUAGGCGGCCUUAUAAGUCCGGGGUGAAAGCCCGUUGCUUAACAACGGAACUGCCCUGGAUACUGUGAGGCUUGAGUACAGACGAGGUUGGCGGAAUGGACCGAGUAG
rnacentral:rRNA from 1 species